rnacentral:sRNA from 1 species
AGAGGAAGUAAAAGUCGUAACAAGGUUUCCGUAGGUGAACCUGCGGAAGGAUCAUUAUCGAGUUUUGAACGGGUUGUCUGCUGGCUCGCAAGGGCAUGUGCACGCCUGUCUCAUCCACUCUCAACUUCUGUGCACUUUUCAUAGGCCGGCUUGUGGGUGCGUUCGCGCACUUGUAGGUGUCGGGCUUAUGCUUUACUACAAACGAUUCAGUUUUAGAAUGUCAUACUUUGCUAUAACGCAAUUUAUAUACAACUUUCAGCAACGGAUCUCUUGGCUCUCGCAUCGAUGAAGAACGCAGCGAAAUGCGAUAAGUAAUGUGAAUUGCAGAAUUCAGUGAAUCAUCGAAUCUUUGAACGCACCUUGCGCUCCUUGGUAUUCCGAGGAGCAUGCCUGUUUGAGUCUCAUGGAAUUCUCAACCUUCGGCUUUAUUGACGAAGGCUUGGACUUGGAGGUCGUGCCGGCUCUCGUAGUCGGCUCCUCUGAAAUGCAUUAGUGCGAACGUUACCAGCCGCUUCAGCGUGAUAAUUAUCUGCGUUGCUGUGGAGGGUAUUCUAGUGUUCGCGCUUCUAACCGUCUUCGGACAAAUUUCUGAACUCUGAGCUCAAAUC